rnacentral:tRNA from 1 species
GGGAAUGUGGCUUAGUGGUAGAGUAUUUGCCUAGCAUGCAUGAAGCCCUAGGUUUGAUUCCUCAGCCCCA